CCAGACUCCUACGGGAGGCAGCAGUGGGGAAUAUUGGGCAAUGGGCGCAAGCCUGACCCAGCGACGCCGCGUGAGGGAAGACGGUCUUCGGAUUGUAAACCUCUUUCAGCAGGGAAGACAAAAUGACGGUACCUGAAGAAGAAGCCCCGGCUAACUACGUGCCAGCAGCCACGGUAAUACGUAGGGGGCAAGCGUUAUCCGGAUUUACUGGGUGUAAAGGGGGCGCAGACGGCGAUGCAAGCCAGGAGUGAAAGCCCGGGGCCCAACCCCGGGACUGCUCUUGAAACUGCCAUGCUGGAGUGCCGGAGAGGUAAGCGGAAUUCCUAGUGUAGCGGUGAAAUGCGUAGAUAUUAGGAGGAACACCAGUGGCGGAGGCGGCUUACUGGACGGUAACUGACGCUGAGGCUCGAAAGCGUGGGGAGCAAACAGGAUUAGAUACCCCGGUAUU
rnacentral:rRNA from 1 species